CAACGGGAGUUGGAUGGAACAAAAAUUUUUCUUGUCAUAUUUUUACAAGGCAGAAGCUCUUCCCCACCCCUUUGCCUUUUUAAUUGUAAGAAUGAGUUAAUACCACAGCACUUGUUGAGAAUGCGGUGAGAAGCUUGACAGUUCGGUUGAGAAGAGUUCAGAUCUCAUUCAGCUUCGCAGGGUUACGUUGUUUUAAGUCAACCUUGGGCUUUUGUGCAAUGGAUGGAAAAGCUUAGCAUAGAGGUGGAGUAAAGCUUUUUUU